rnacentral:rRNA from 1 species
GACGAACGCUGGCGGCGUGCCUAAUACAUGCAAGUCGAGCGAAGCGGCGGAUGGGUGAGUAACGCGUGGGUAACCUGCCCUUAAGUCUGGGAUACCAUUUGGAAACAGAUGCUAAUACCGGAUACUAAAGGAUGGACCUGCGAUGCAUUAGCUAGUUGGUAAGGUAACGGCUUACCAAGGCCACGAUGCAUAGCCGCCCUGAGAGAGUGUGCGGCCACACUGGAACUGGGACACGGCCCGGAUUCCUACGGUAGGCAGCAGUAGGGAAUCUUCGGCAAUGGACGAAAGUCUUCCCGAGCAACGCCGCGUAAGUGAAGAAGUUUUUCGGAUCGUAAGACUCUGUUGUUAGAGAAGCGGUAUCUAACCAGAAAGCCACGGCUAACUACGUGCCAGCCGCCGCGGUAAUUC